rnacentral:lncRNA from 1 species
CCAGGCUGGAGUGCAGUGGCAUAAUCUUGCUUGACUGCAAGCUCCGCAUUCCGGGUUCAAGAGAUUCUCCUGCCUCAGCCUUCCGAGUAGCUGGGAUUACAGGUGCCUGCCACCACACUUGGCUAAUUUUUGUAUUUUUAGUAGAGAUGGGGGUUUCACCAUGUUGGCCAGGCUGGUGUCGAACUCCUGACCUCAGUGAUCCACCUGCCUUGGCCUCCCAAAGUGCUGGGAUUACAGGCAUUAGCCACUGCGCCCAGCCGUAUGUCUCCAUCUUUUUAUUUCUUGCAAUGUGUUGUUAAAGAAGUCAGGUGGUAUGUGUACACAAGUAACGUAUACUUGUUGAAUAUUUCUUAUUUAUCAUACCCUGUCUCGUUCCAAAAGGAUUUUACAUGACUUAUAAUUUUAAUAUAAUCCGGGGGAGAUGGGCAGAUUCAGCUCUGGGAGGCCAGCAGAAUGGCUUUUAGGUCCUCCUUGGAUUCAGAAAAUACUUCUUGAAAGAUAUUUGAGGUAAAUCUUACAGGAUUAGAGGUUAGCCAGAUGAAAAGAAAUCAAGAGAGGAGAGAGGAGCCCCCACAAAGGACUGACCCAGGGCAAUAACGGGGAAAGAACUUGGAGGUACAGAGGCAGACCUUGGUGUUUCCCAGGGUGUGGGACGUUGGGGGUAGUAAGGCUGGAGUGGGUAGAGGAAAGGGCUAGGGUGACACCACGGGGUAUUAGGUGGAACUGAGGGAAACAGAAAUAGGAGCAGAGAAAAGGGAAUGAGAACGGGAAAGAGGGAGGUGGGAAAUAGAAGAGGGAGUUUCCAAACAGCAACAACAACAGAAACAAGUGUUUUGGGUUGUGGAGCGUUUGCCCUGCAGAGAGCUGGGUCUGCCCUUGUCCCUUUUGGGGAUUAUGAAUCAGUGCGUGGAGCCGCGCGGCCACAUCCACCAUUCACUUGCACUUGAGUGACAGCCAAGCUACAGUCAUGAAUACGUUUCUUUCUUUUUACAGAAGAACAGUAAAUUGACUUUAUUCCUUAUAAAGGUGAUACUGGAGAAUGUGACAUAGAUUUGCUGGCACAUGGGUUUCCUAUGAGCAAACCCCAGAAUUGGACACACGUAUCUGGUGCUGCAUUGGAAUCAUCCCAAAAAACCAAGGCUUGCAUUGCAUAUCUAUCUGCUGUCUGCUGAAGGAGCCCUGUCUGUGUGCCCAAGGAAGUGACAUCCUUGCCAAGGGCUGUCCCUGUCGCAGGAGAUGAAGGAGCCCUGUCUAUGUGCUCAAGGACAGUGGCUUCCUUGCCAAGGGCUGUCCCUGUUGCAGGAGAUGAAGGAGCCCUGUCUAUGUGCUCAAGGACAGUGGCUUCCUUGCCAAGGGCUGUCCCUGUUGCAGGAGAUGAAGGAGCCCUGUCUAUGUGCUCAAGGGCAGUGGCUUCCUUGCCAAGGGCUGUCCCUGUUGCAGGAGAUGAAGGAGCCCUGUCUAUGUGCUCAAGGACAGUGGCUUCCUUGCCAAGGGCUGUAUCUGUUGCAGGAGAUGAAGGAGCCCUGUGUGCCUGAGGACAGUGGCUUCCUUGCCAAGGGCUGUCCCUGUAGCAGGGGAAAGCCUUUCAGGACCCUUUCUUAGAGAAAUAGGUCUCAAAGUGAAUGAAUAUACCUCCUCACAUACUCACCAAGCAGCCUGCAGAGGAUACAGCUUUCCAUGUGGCUCAGGGAACAGUUGAUAUCAACAGUCUCUCAAUUCCUUUAUUAUUAUUAUUAUUAUACUUUAAGUUCUGGGAUACAUGUGCAGAACGUGCAGCGUUGUUACAUAGGUAUAUAUGUGCCAUGGUGGUUUGCUGCACCCAUCAACCUGUCAUCUACAUUGGGUAUUUCUCCUAAUGCUAUCCCUCCCCUUGCCCCCAACCUCCCAACAGGCACCGGUGUGUGAUGUUCCCCUCCCUGUGUCCAUAUGUUCUCAUUGUUCAACUUCCACUUAUGAGUGAGAACAUGCAGUGUUUGGUUUUCUGUUCCUGUGUUAGUUUGCUGAGAAUGAUGGUUUCCAGUGUCAUCCAUGAUCCUGCAAAGGACAUGAACUCAUCCUUUUUUAUGGCUGCAUAGUAUUCCAUGGUGUCUAUGUGCCACAUUUUCUUUAACCAGUCUGUCAUUGAUGGGCAUUUGGGUUGGUUCCAAGUCUUUGCUAUUGUGAAUAGUGCCGCAAUAAACAUACAUGUGCUCGGGGCUGGGCGCGGUGGCUCAAACCUGUAAUCCCAGCACUUUGGGAGGCUGAGGCGGGUGGAUCACGAGGUCAGGAGAUCAAGACCAUUCUGGCCAACAUGGUGAAACCCCUUCUCUAGUAAAAUGCAAAAAAUUAGCUGGGCGUGGUGGUGUGUGCCUGUAGUUCCAGCUACUCAGGAGGCUGAGGCAAGAGAAUCGCUUGAACCCGGGAGGUGGAGGUUGCAGUGAGCCGAGACCGUGCCACUGCACUCCAGCCUGGCAACAGAGCAAGACUCCGUCUCAAAAAUAAUAAAUAAACAUACGUGUGCAUGUGUCUUUACAGUAGAAUGAUUUAUAAUCCUUUGGGUAUAUACCCAGUAAUGGGAUGGCUGGGUCAAAUGGUAUUUCUAGUUCUAGAUCCUUGAGGAAUCGCCACACUGUCUUCCACAAUGGUUGAACUAAUUUGCACUCCCACCAACAGUGUAAAACUAUUCCUAUUUCUCUACAUCCUCUCCAGCAUCUGUUGUUUCCUGACUUUUUAAUGAUCACCAUUCUAACUGGUGUGAGAUGAUAUCUCAUUGUGGUUUUGAUUUGCAUUUCUCUAAUGAUCAGUGACGAUGAGUUUUUUUCAUGUUUGUUGGCUGCAUAAAUGUCUUGAGAAGUGUCUGUUCAUAUCCUUUGCACACUUUCUGAUGGGGUUGUUUGUUCUUGUAAAUUUACUUAAGUUCCUUGUAAAUUCUGGAUAUUAGCCCUUUGUCGGAUGGAUAGAUUGCAAAAAUUUUCUUCCAUUCUGUAGGUUGCCUGUUCACUCUGCCUGGUCAUAUGCAGAAAACCGAAACUAGACCCCUUGCUGACACUUAUACAAAAAUUAACUCAAGAUGCAUUAAAGAUUUAAACGUGAGACCUAAAACCAGAAAAAUCCUAGAAGAAAACCUAGGCAACACCAUUGAGGACGUAAGCAUGGGCAAAGACUUCAUGACUAAAACACCAAAAGAAAUGGCAACAAAAGCCAAAAUUGACAAAAGGUUUCCUUAAUGACAACAAAAAAGGGAGUAAUCCUACCCACUGUAAGAGUCAUGACUCUUGAUUGCAGCUGACAGAAACUCAUGACAGCCUGCUUUAGAUGAAGGGGGAGAGAAGGACUGGAAGAAUCUUGGAGUUGGGAAUGUCACACGUAAUUGAAGGAAGAACAAGAAAACUAUAGUAAAGAACCCUGGGGUGGUGAUGUAGUCAUGGGCCAAGUGUCCUGGAACCCUGGGGUGGUGAUGUAGUUGUGGGCCAAGUGUCCUGGAACCCUGGGGUGGUGAUGUAGUCAUGGGCCAAGUGUCCUGGAACCCUGGGGUGGUGAUGUAGUUGUGGGCCAAGUGUCCUGGGUUUUGGGUGGAGAAAGAGUCCCCUAGAUAAGUUAUUAGGUGGGUGCAAAGGUAAUUGCAGUUUUUCCCAUUAUUUUAAUUGCGAAAACAGCAAUUACCUUUGCACCAACCUGAUGGAGUCCCCCUUGCCAUGCUUCUCUCUGUGAAAAACCCCAAGCCGAAGUCAGCAUAACAUCCACAGGACUCUAUGUUUGCAAAAGCCAGCUUAGCUAUAUUACAUGUAUAAGCACAUUUUUUCAAUAAGUCAGCCUUAGCUUACUGUAACUUUUUAACUUUAUAAACUUAGUAUUUUAACUUUUUAAACUUUUUUGUUGAAAACUAAGACACAAAAACACAUGUUAGCCUAGAUCCACACAGGGUCAGGGUCAUCAGUAUCACUGUCUUCCACCUCCACAUUUUGUCUCUCUGGAAGGUCUUCAGGGGCAAUAACACACAUGGAGCUGUCAUCGCCUGUGGUAACAAUGCCUUCUACAGUACUUCCCAAAGGGCCUGCUAGUUCACUUAAUUCUUUUAUAGAGAGAAGGAGUACACUCUAAAACACUGAUCAAUAGUAUAUUAUAGUAAAUACAUAAACCAGGAACACAUUUAUUAUCAUUAUCACGUAUUGUGUAUUGUACAGAAUGGUGUGUGCUGUGCUAUCCAGGAACACAUUUAUUAUCAUUAUCAAGUAUUGUGUACUGUACAGAAUGGUGUGCGCUGUGCUUUUAUGCAAGUGGCAGCACAGUAGCUUUACACGAGCAUCACUAGACACAUGAGUAGCAUUGCACUCGGCAACAGGAAUUUUUUCAGGCCCAUUAUUAUAAUCUUAUGGGACCGCAUCCUAUAUGCAGUUUGUCAUUGACCAAAAUGUCCUUAUGCGAUGCAUGACUAUAUUUGCAAAGGACUAGUAUCUAGAAUACAUUUAAAAGUCUUAAAAUAGUAACAAAACAAAGAAUGCAAUUAGAACAUGAGCAAAAGAUACAAAGCAACAUUUCACUGGAGAAGAUAUACAGAUUGCAAAUAAGCACAUGAAAAGAUGUUUGAUACCAUUAGGGAAACGCUUCUUUAAACCAGGAGAUAUCACCACGUGUUAGAAUCAACAAAAUAAGGCCAGGCAUGGUGGCUCACACCUGUAAUCCCAACACUUUGGGAGGCUGGGGCAGGCAGAUCACAUGAGAUCAGGAAUUCAAGACCAACCUGGCCAACAUGGCAAAACCCUGUCUCUGCUGAAAACACAAAAAUUAGCCAGGUGUGGUGGCACACGCCUGUAGUCCUAGCACCUUGGGAGGCUGAGGCAAGAUAAUUGCUUAAACCCAGGAGACGGAGGUUGCAGUAAGCUGAGAUCAUGCCACUGCGCUCCAGCCUGGGCGACAGAGCAAGAUUAUGUCUCAAAAAAAAAAAAAAAAAAAAGAAUCACCAAAAUAAAAAAUAGUAACAAUACUAUUGUCAAGGAUGCAAAGGAACUGUACCACUCAAUCACUGCUGUGAGAAUUUAAAGUGGUGCAGCCACUCUGGGAAACAGCUUGGCUGUUUUUUUUUAUGACUGAAUGUGCAACUACUAUAUGAUGCAGUAAUUUCAUUUUUGCACAUUUAUCCCGGAGAAAUGAAAACAUAUAUUCACACAAAACCUGUAUAUGAAUGCUAAUAAAAGUCAAUUGGCCAGGUGUGGUGGCUCAUGCCUGUAAUCCCAGCACUUUGGGAGGCUGAGGCAGUGGAUCACCUGAGGUCAGGAGUUUGAGACCAGCCUGGCCAACGUGGUGAAAACUCGUCUCUACUAAAAAUACAGCAAUUAGCUGGGUGUAAUAGUAGCCACCUGUAAUCCCAGCUACUGGGGAGGCUGAAGCAGAAGAACCUCUUGAACCCGGGAGGCAGAGGUUGCAGUGAGCUGAGAUCGUACCACUGCACUCCAGCCUGGGCGAUAGAGUGAGACUCUGUCUCAAAAAAUAAAAUAAAAUAAAUAAAAAGAUUAGAUAAUCUGCAAAGUUCCUGUGAGCGCUGUCAUUUUGUCACUCUGGUUUUUCAGAUUCUUCCCCUGGAGGCUGGAGUUUCCAGGAUGUCAAAAUUACCUCUGCUUGGGUGAGCUAUUUCAAGCAGCUGGGAUACCUGUGUCACUCCUGCUGUCUGCCAGUGACUGCCCAGGUGUCUGCUGGUUCCUCCCCAGGAGUAGGGAGGAACCAGGUGGGCUGGCUGGGAUGGGUGGAUAUUUAAAGACCAGGCCUUGGACGCUGCAGCACUUCUAUCUCUGCUUGAUGCCUGCUGCCACGUGGCUGGUCCUCCUCCUCCUGCUGUGGCUGAGCCUUGGGGUGAAGACAGGUGAGGAGCUAGGCUGGCAUCUGUGCUACAGGUCAAAGAGACCCCAAUCUCUGCUCUCUCAUUCAUUCAAUCAAUUAAUCUGUUUUGUCUCUGGCAUGACCCACCUCCUGUGACCCAGCAUUCAUUAAUUCAUUAAUCAAAUAAUUCAUGUAUUCAGACACUUAUUAAGUACCGACUAUAUGGUUGAUGUGGCUUCUUUGUGUAUCCAGUUUUAUAUCUGGAUAAGAUGUCUUUGGAUGAUCAGCUUGGGAGGGUCUAGUAUCCAGAGGAUGCUCCCUCGGAUAGAGGCAGCGUGGGCACUGUGGGUGGCUGGGGUGGACGGGACAGGAGGGAAGGUAGGUGUGAUAAACCCAGAUCCAGAUUAACAGGCAGACUCACUGGGCAAUUUCCAGGCACCAGUCUACUGGGUUUAUUCAAACAUCCCUGGAAAUACAACAGGGUGAAUACAGUUGCAUUUACUAGAACUUCUCUCUCUCUCUCCUCUCUCUCUCUUUUU